GAGGCCCAGCUCGAUGUGUACAUGCGGCUGUGGGAGGCUGGCGUCGUGUCUGAAGCCACUUAUGAGGAGGCACGCCAAAAGGCCCGUGAAGCCCGCCUUGACUGUGAAGCCCAGGAAGAAGAAGCAGAAUGGUCAUCUUGAAGAAGAUGGCUCGUUUUAAUAAAAAAGGGUAUAGCGCUGGGUAUUUGGGCGCUAUACCUGUUAGUAUAAGCUUUUUAUGUAUAACACCCAAAUACU
rnacentral:lncRNA from 1 species